rnacentral:rRNA from 1 species
GGUUUCCGUAGGUGUCACCCCCCGAGGUUCGCCUAUGGAAGCCCCCGGCAACGACUCUAAACAAGUGCUCCGGAGUCUGCCCACGGGCGGGCGACGCCUUCAUUCUGCCCUGGGAGUGCCCUUCACCGGGCCCACCAGCAGCUUGUGUAAGCUCACAGAUCAGACGAACGCGGCCACUACGGUGGUUUUGAUAUGACCGGCCGUGGCUGUCACCAGCCCACGACGUUUGCGGAACCUGCGGAAGGAUCAUUA